CUCAGAUUCUGACCAGUGACUAACUCAUACGAUGUCGGCUGGUAUCAUUGUGUUCACGCUAUGGUACAUCGUCCUCAUUUAUAAGAUUUUAACUGACUCAUUGCAGACUCCCCCUCCCCCGGAACAACCACGUCAAAAAGGCCAUAAAUGUUGCUGCGUAAUAUUAUGACUAUUGGACUAACUGCAAGAUUUGGCAGCCACGAGAAGACCACCCCUAUACGAAGCGCUGAUGCAACUAACUUAGCCUUAAUGGUAACGAGGCGAGAGCCCUAAGCGCUUUGGGAGUCCAAAUGACCCAUAUGGUGACAGGUACAGUUUGACAAAAAAAAAAGCGGCGAAUUAAAAAACAUAAUCACAAAAACUGAUUUCGUUACUUGAUACUUACUUGAGCUUAUAACCUGUCAACAUUAUGGUUCAUCAAAUCCACCGACCGCAAUACCAAGUCUAGUGAUUUACUAUCUUUGCUCACUUUUAAAGAGAUUAAGGGCGUGUAAUUGUGACUGAUACAAACUUUUUUAAACGUUACAUGUGUGAUAUGGUAUUCAUAGCCAAUUCACAAUUUUGCACUAUACUGAUCCAAGUUGUAUAAAACCCCCUGUUAUGUAGAAAAAAAAAUAAGGACAAUGAGCGAAAUAUUUGUACGGUCACAAGCAUUAAUAUGUAGGUAUCCACUUUGGUUCCAUGUCACAUUAACUUUUUUGACAAAUUGAACUGUAAG